rnacentral:hammerhead_ribozyme from 1 species
ACCCAGAUGACAAGUCCCAAAUGGGACGAAAUGCGCGUCAUCCUGGAU